UACGGAAGGUCCGGGCGUUAUCCGGAUUUAUUGGGUUUAAAGGGAGCGUAGGCUGGGGUAUAAGCGUGUUGUGAAAUGUAGACGCUCAACGUCUGACUUGCAGCGCGAACUGUAUUUCUUGAGUACGCACAACGUUGGCGGAAUUCGUCGUGUAGCGGUGAAAUGCUUAGAUAUGACGAAGAACUCCGAUUGCGAAGGCAGCUGACGGGAGCGCAACUGACGCUGAAGCUCGAAAGUGCGGGUAUCGAACAGG
rnacentral:rRNA from 1 species